rnacentral:rRNA from 1 species
UACAGAGGGUGCGAGCGUUAAUCGGAAUUACUGGGCGUAAAGCGUGCGUAGACGGCUAUCUAAGUCGGGUGUGAAAGCCCCGGGCUCAACCUGGGAAUUGCAUUCGAGACUGAAUAGCUAGGGUACGGUAGAGGGAAGCGGAAUUUCCGGUGUAGCGGUGAAAUGCGUAGAUAUCGGAAGGAACAUCAGUAGCGAAAGCGGCUUCCUGGACCAGUACCGACGUUCAGGCACGAAAGCGUGGGGAGCAAACAGG